CAUAAAAGAAACCUCAUCAUCUGGUAAAAUCCAAAGUGAAAUUCUCCUGCAAGCUUCCAGUGUACCAGCAGACAUUCGCAUUUCCAUGCUGUCUGAUUCUGACUUCACUGAGGAGGAAUGUGAAGAUCUGCGGCAAAAAGUGAAUAGCGGCUUGCUGAGAAAACCUACUGUUGUGGAGCUUGAAGAGAAGGCCAGAAUUCUGCACGCAGAUAUCACAAAGCAUAGGAUUGAGAGAGAGCUGGUUAUAUUACAAAAUCACAUUGAUCGGGCGAAUGAGAA